AUCCAGCAUUGAUAUGUUCCCCUGUGUACUGACUCUCAUAUUUAUAAAUCUGUUUGUUUUUGGAUUAAAUUCAGGAAGAAGAAUGCUUCGAGCUCCACCACUGAAGUGAAUGAACCCAUAGAGACUGUGGAGUUGGACCCUUGUUCUGUGUAUGAGAACGUCUCAGACCUGAACAUGGUCUCUGCAGAACAGACAGAAGAACCAGAGGAGCAGGAGGACCUGGUCUGAAGAUGCAUCAAACCAGAGGGAGACUCACCUGGAUGAAACAGAGAG